rnacentral:rRNA from 1 species
AUGCCUUACACAUGCAAGUCGAACGGUAACAGGGAGCUUGCUCCGCUGACGAGUGGCGGAACGGGUGAGUAAAGUAUCGGAACGUACCUUCAGUGGGGAUAACGUAGCGAAAGUUACGCUAAUACCGCAUACGAUCUACGGAUGAAAGCGGGGGGAUCGCAAGACCUCGCGCGAUUGGAGCGGCCGAUAUCAGAUUAGGUAGUUGGUGGGGUAAAGGCUCACCAAGCCAACGAUCUGUAGCUGGUCUGAGAGGACGACCAGCCACACUGGAACUGAGACACGGACCCGACUCCUACGGGAGGCAGCAGUAAGGAAUAUUGGACAAUGGUCGAAAGACUGAUCCAGCCAUCCCGCGUGCAGGAUGACUGCCCUAUGGGUUGUAAACUGCUUUUAUAUGGGAAGAAUAGCAUAGAUUCAUCUGUGUAUGACGGUACCAUAUGAAUAAGCACCGGCUAACUCCGUG